GCAACUCGCCUACAUGAAGUCGGAGUUGCUAGUAAUCGCGGAUCAGAAUGCCGCGGUGAAUGCGUUCCCGGGUCUUGUACACACCGCCCGUCACACCAUGGAAGUUGGGGGCGCCCGAAGUUGCCUAAGAAAUAAGGUACCUAAGGCGAAACCAAUGACUGGGGUGAAGUCGUAACAAGGUAUC
rnacentral:rRNA from 1 species